rnacentral:misc_RNA from 1 species
GAUGAAGAACGUAGCGAAAUGCGAUACUUGGUGUGAAUUGCAGAAUCCCGUGAACCAUCGAGUCUUUGAACGCAAGUUGCGCCCGAAGCCACUAGGCCGAGGGCACGCCUGCCUGGGCAUCACACGUCGUUGCCCCCCCCCCAUCUACUCCUUCGGGAUUGCGGGGGGCGGAUGAUGGCCUCCCGUGCGCCUAGCCGCGCGGUUGGCAUAAAUACCAAGUCCUCGGCGACGCACGCCACGACAAUCGGUGGUUGCGAAACCUCGGUUGCCCGUCGUGUGCGUUCGUCGCGCAUCGAGGGCUCGAAAAAAUGCUCGGCUCCGGCUCGGCUUUCAACGCGACCCCAGGUCAGGCGGGGUUACCCGCUGAAUUUAAGCAUAUCAAUAAGCGGAGGA